rnacentral:rRNA from 1 species
GAUGAACGCUGGCGGCGUGCCUAAUACAUGCAAGUCGAGCGAACAGAUGAGGAGCUUGCUCCUCUGACGUUAGCGGCGGACGGGUGAGUAACACGUGGAUAACCCACCUAUAAGACUGGGAUAACUUCGGGAAACCGGAGCUAAUACCGGAUAAUAUAUUGAACCGUAUGGUUCAAUAGUGAAAGACGGUUUUGCUGUAACUUAUAGAUGGAUCCGCGCCGCAUUAGCUAGUUGGUAAGGUAACGGCUUACCAAGGCAACGAUGCGUAUCCGACCUGAGAGGGUGAUCGGCCACACUGGAACUGAGACACGGUCCAGACUCCUACGAGAGGCAGCAGUAGGGAAUCUUCCGCACUGGGCGAAAACCUGACGGAGCAACGCCGCGUGAGUGAUGAAGGUCUUCGGAUCGUAAAGCUCUGUUAUUAGGGAAGAACAAAUGUGUAAGUAACUAUGCACGUCUUGACGGUACCUAAUCAGAAAGCCACGGCUAACUACGUG